UAAGAUAAUUGAAACUAGGGGGGGCAGGGUUAAAAAAACUUUUUAUCAGCCAGAGGUUAAUGCAAGUGUUUAACAGAUGCUUCACUAUUAAAAUAUUUUUCCCCCAAAGGCUCAAAUAUUGAAGAGUCUCAAACCAGGGACACCAGCCCCAACGAAGACCUUGGGCGAUUUCAAAGUGGGGGCACCUCAAUUCCCCGAAUCUGUGGUGUGGCCGGUAUCGGUGUUCCCCUGAUUUAACUAGCCUGUUUGGUUUCUCAGGAUGCUGGGUUAGCCUGCUCCUUUGGAAAGCUAUGAGGCAAAGAUACCAUCUCAAGUUUGCCUCAUAUUUAUGUGGCCUGUGCAUCCCAGUGUUUGGAUUUACAAGGUCUUUCCUGUCAUUCAACCUGAGACUGGUGUGGAAGAAUGAGACACUGGUUC